rnacentral:rRNA from 1 species
UACGUAGGGGGCAAGCGUUGUCCGGAUUUAUUGGGCGUAAAGAGCGUGUAGGCGGCCUGAAAGGUCAGCUGUGAAAACUCGAGGCUCAACCUCGAGACGUCGGUUGAAACCAUCUGGCUAGAGUCCGGAAGAGGAGAGUGGAAUUCCCGGUGUGAGCGGUGAAAUGCGCAGAUAUCGGGAAGAACACCCGUGGCGAAGGCGGCUCUCUGGGACGGUACUGACGCAUGAGACGGCGAAAGCGUGGGGAGCGAACCAGG